AUUGAACGCUAGCGGGAUGCCUUACACAUGCAAGUCGAACGGAGUGGCGAACGGGUGAGUAAUGUAUCGGAACGUGCCCUGUCGUGGGGGAUAACUAAGCGAAAGCGUAGCUAAUGCCGCAUACUUUUGGAGCGGCCGAUAUCGGAUUAGCUAGUGGGAGGGGUAACGGCUCACCAAGGCGACGAUCCGUAGCUGGUUUGAGUGGGCGACCAGCCACACGGGGACUGAGACACGGCCCAGACUCCUACGGGAUGCAGCAGUGGGGAAUUUUGGACAAUGGGCGAAACCCUGAUCGAGCCAGCCCGCGUGUGCGAUGAAGGUCUUCGGGUUGUAAAGCACUUUUGGCAGGAAAGCGGUACCUGCAGAAAAAGCCCCGGCUAACUACGUGCCAGCAGCCGCGGUAAUAC
rnacentral:rRNA from 1 species